rnacentral:rRNA from 1 species
UACGGAGGGUGCGAGCGUUGCUCGGAAUCACUGGGCGUAAAGCGCACGUAGGCGGAUCUUUAAGUCAGGGGUGAAAUCCCAAGGCUCAACCUUGGAACUGCCUUUGAUACUGGGGAUCUCGAGUCCGGAAGAGGUGAGUGGAACUGCGAGUGUAGAGGUGAAAUUCGUAGAUAUUCGCAAGAACACCAGUGGCGAAGGCGGCUCACUGGUCCGGUACUGACGCUGAGGUGCGAAAGCGUGGGGAGCAAACAGG